CUCCAGGUGGCCAGAAAGACGGUAGACAUUCAGACAGCAAGUGCCUACUGAAAACAGCCGCCACCUUUCAAAACGAGAAUAAGGUCCUGCUGGGAGAAACUGGCAAGGAGAAGCUUCCUCGGUACUACAGGAACAUCGGGCUGGGCUUCAAGACUCCCAGAGAGGCCAUCGAGGGCACCUACGGUGACGAGAAAUGCCCCUUCCCUGGUAACAUCUCCAGCCGAGGGUGGAUCCCGUCUGGGGUGGUGACCCAGAUGGAGAUGCAGAGGACCAUUGUCAUCUGCCAAGACUAUCUCCGCUACAUCCGCAAGUCCAAUCGCUGUGAGAAGCGCCACGAGAACAUGUCUGUGCACCUGCCCCCCUGCUUCAGGGACGUCCAGGUUGGUGACGUCGUCACAGUGGGCGAGUGCCGGCCCCUGAGCAAGGCGGUUCGCUCCCACGUGCUCAAGGUCACCGAGGCUGCCGGCACCAAGAAGCAGUUCCAGAAGUUCUGAGACGGGGUGCCUGCCCACUCCCCCAAAUGAAAUAAAGUUAUUUUCUCAUU